ensembl:lncRNA
ACACGGCUGAGUGACUGACCUGACCAACUGGACAGUAAGCCCAAACCAAUGGAGUUUAGAAUGCAAUAAUUUUUCUGUAGGUUCUUUUAUAGAAGGAAUGGUAACUCACACCUUUAUAGCAGUGAUCAUCUGUUGGGUACUGUAUGACAUACCUUCCUCUUUAAUGCUUAAUCCACACAACAGUCCAAUGAAGGAGGUACUAUUAUUAAGCCCGUUUUAUAGGUAAGAAAACUGAGGCACAGAGAGAAGUAACUUUCCCAAGAUCAUACUGCUUUGAAGGAGACUUCACAUCCAGGCAGUCCUAUUCCAGAAUCUGUGCUCCAUUGUACCUGACUCUCUCACUUCCCCCUAGCACCCAGGUAGCUGAGUUCCAUACACCUUGCAGAAACUCCAAGGACUUUAAUUGAAGUCCCUUAUCUCUUGAGUAAUACAGACCAAAUAAAUAAUGCAUGAGAUCAGCUAAUAAGAGAUCAUGGAAAUACUGAGCAGCAGACAAAAUUGAGGACAAAAUUAGUAAUUUUAUCAUGAGAACAUGACCUAAUCUGGAGCUACAUAUGGUUCAGAUUGAAUCCAAACUCAUGGAAUUUCAACAAAGUGCCUCCCCCCACCCCCUCUUUUUCUUUUUUUUUGCUUUCCUUGUGAAGCCUAAGUCGGCGAGACGAAUAUUACUCACUUUCUGUGCAUCUGUUUGAUGCCAUUCCCUUCCUUCGGUCCUUUCGUGCCAAAUUCAUAACAGAAUACUGCAGGUACUCAGGCAGUUUCUUGAGUAACCCUGAGUAGAACUCUGUGGUUGAUGUGCUUCUGUGUGGUCGGAUUUGGAAGUUUAGAUUAAGAGUGUAGAAAAGACCACCAUAUGUUCAUCCUGAUAAAAAAAAAAAAAAAGGAGAAAGAUUGUUUAGCAACCUUGGAUCUCAUGUGAGCUGCAGAUCCUGGGUGGCGGGCACUGUGCCAUGGGCUUGGCUGGUGUAACAAUAACAAGGCGGGUCAUAGCAGCCCCGAGCUCUCCAGCUUCUGGGGUGACUCAUUCUGCCCGUAUGGCUGUCCAGCUGACCCAGCACCGUUUGGUGACAGGGCCACCCCUCUCCCUCUGCACCGCUGUGUUGGCUUUGUUUUUUAGUAUUUAUUUCUAUUUAGUUAUUUGGCUGGGCUGAGUGUUAGUCACAACAUGUGGAAUCUAGUUCCCUGACUAGGGAUCGAACCCAGGCCCCCUGCCCUGGGAGCACAGAGUCUUAGCUGCUGGACCACCAGCGAAGUUCUGGCUUCGUUUUAAUCAUAGAGCGUAUAUGUGUGGGUUUGAUGGAUUGUGAUUGGGCUUCUAGGUGACGCCAGUGGCAAAGAACCCUCCUGCCAAUCCAGGAGACCCAAGAGAUGAGGGUUUGAUCCCAGGGUUGGGAAGAUUGCCUGGAGAAGGGAAUGGCAACCCCCUCCAGGAUUCUUGCCUGGAGAAUCCCAUGGACAGAGGAGCCUGGCGGGCUGCAGUCCAUGACGUCACAAAGAGUAGGACACGACUGAAGAACUUAGGGCAGACACACGCAAGUUGUGAUUUAAUGAAUGUUUGAAAUUUUACUUUAUUGCUGAUUUUAUUGGCAUAAAGUUGUUCACGAUUAUCCUCUUACUGUUGUUAUUCGUAUCUGUAAGAUCUGUAGUGGUGUCCUUUUUUCAUUCUUGACGUUAGUAGCUUGUGCUUUGCAUUUUUUCCCCCUUGAUCAAUCUUGUAACUGUUUUAUCAUUUUUAUUAACAUUUUCAAGGGAAAAACUUUUGGCUUUGUUGAUUUUCUCUAUUGUAUGAUUGUUUUCUAUUUAAUCAGUUUCUGCUUUUUUGUCAUUUCCUUCCUUCCACUAUCUUUGUAUUUAUUAGGCUAUUCUUUUUCUAGCUUCAUGGUAUUUCAGAUCAUUAAUUUUGCUUUUCUUUCUUCUCUAGUAUGCUUACUUGAAGGCACUACAUUCUCUCUUAGGACUGCUUUUGCUUCAUCUCAUAAGUUUUU